GUACUCGCUUCGGCAGUACAUAUACUAAAAUUGGAACGAUACAGAUAAGAUUAUUGCGAGUUUCUUACGCCGGUUCUUCUCGCCGGGAUAGUUCCCGAACCGGUGGUAGGCACCGUAGCUAAUAUUAACAUUCUGAAAGUAUUUUCUUAAAAUCUACUCAGAAAUAAAACAUUUUUUUAUUUUUAUUUUAUUUUUUUUUAAUUAGCAAAUAGCAUGGCUCCUUCGCAAGGAGCACACGUAAUUAAUCGUCAACCGUUCCACAUUUUU